GUUGUACAGCUGUGGAAAUGUUGACGGGAAGCCCUCCGCUGGGUGACCUCGAACCAAUGGCGGCCAUCUUCCUUAUUGGAUCUAAGCCAACGGUACCAAAGUUGCCGAAGGAUACAUCAAAAGCUACAAAGGAUCUUAUUGCGGCUGCUUUGACAUGGAAACCUCAGAAACGACCAUGGUCGAACGAUUUGCUGGAUGAAUUUUUUUGAAGUGCCGUUCGGAAAUGUUUUUGGGGGCCUCUCGGAUGUUCCAAUCAAAGACUGAUCCAUGUGUCUAUGUAAUCAAAGUAAACCAAAACGAAAGUAGUUUUAUAAGAGUUCUUUGCAACUAUGCUUGAUGCAACUCUUGUUAAUGUAAUGAUGGAAUUUAAAAAUGGGAGAGGUUUGGUGAAUUUCCUCCUAUCUGUCAGAAAAAUUGCCCUCCGGGGUCCCUCAGGGAAAAACUUAGACCCAUGACCAUUUCUUGUACUUAUAAAUAAUUGAUAUGUUGACAAUUUAGCUAAUGUACCGAAGUACGUUGACGAUAUGACCGUAUCUGAAGUCGUUGCCAAGGGCAACCGAAAUUGUACCCUGGAGAUUGCGCAUAAGGUUGCGGAGUGGUCUACGCAGAAUAGAGUCCACCUCAAUAGCGAGAAAUGUAAGGAGCUCAGGAUAUCUUUUGUAAAGGAUAAGCCACAGUUUUUCAUGGUAAUGAACUAGAGAGGGUGUCUAGUGCUAAACCACUAGGUCUAACCAUUACGAGCAACCUUACAUUGAACGAGCAUAUUAGUCAGGCGCAUUUUUCUUUAGAAAGAAGUCUUCAAACCCGAGCCUAGAUUCAUCAGUAGAAGAGUUCAUAGACGGACAGGAAAAUGAAAACACCACAAGACCAAACACGAUGUUGCUCUGUUCCACGAAUUUCUUGUUUUGAAAGGCGAGUUGAGACAAAUGGACGAAUUGACUCUUCAAGAGCUGAAUGAAGUCUUGGGUUUUCACCUCUGCAUAUCAAAUUUUGAACUUCCUUAGAACUAUCUCGACAUAUUUUCAGGAUGUCUUUUUUUUAAUCAAAUUAGUUCUACCUUUUAACGGGACUUUUGCUAAAUAAUUUAAACGUAAAGUAUUUUACAAGGAAGCCAUUUCAGUGCAACUCUCGAAUA